rnacentral:tRNA from 16 species
UGCCCGGUGGUAGGCACAGGCGUCCAAACCUGUGGGGAACUCUGGUGACCCGGUGGUUCGAUUCUACCUU